UUAUUAAAUUAAAUAACGAGAAAUAUUUGAAAAGCCUCAGCAGAGAAGAGUAGCUAAUUAAUGUUACAAUAUUUCCUUCAAAUGGUUCAAAUUUCAGAUCAAUUGGUUUAGUGCACCCAUAUCUUCAGGGCUAAAAUUUUUUUAAUUUAAUAGCCUUAAAUCACCAAGUACCUGCCACGUUGUUUACGUCAGUCAAAAGUAUUGUUCAGAGAAACGCAUAUACAAUGAAAUAUGAGACGUUGAUGUUGAUAUGAUUUAAAAGUAUUGACCGUCAAUAUUCAGUUAAUCUCGCACUAUUUCAACCUUUUUAUCAGCAGCUUUAGCUCUUUAGUUCAAAUCCGAAAUAAACUUUAUCUUCUUUUUUAAUUUUUUUUAAGGACAUUGCUUGAUAUUUAGAUUCCCGUUCCAUUGAGUUUCAUGCGCUAACCCUUAUCAAACGAAAGCGCAAGUCACCGCGGCAUCGCAAGUCAUCUCUACGUAAACGUCUCCGUAAACAUCAUGCAGCUUGACAAGAUUAAAACGUGUUUGAGAAAUUCUUGAAACCUUUAUUUUGCUAAUGUAAGCGCUCAAAUGACGGUAUAGCAAUUCGUGACUGCCUAUGAACUGACUUGCAACGACUUUAUUAUUCGUAUUUCAAUAUUUCCACUAUACUGGACGUAGCUUGUUAAUUUUUCCCUCUCACUCAAUCUGUUUAAACAAUUGAUUUUCACAUUUGUUGUUAAAUAUCAAUUUCUUCUUCUAAAAUAUGUUUCAUGUCCGUGUUGUUUUGGUAAUAGUUUCCUUAUAAUGUUGUAGAAAAUUCCCAGAAAAUUAAUUUGUUGCGCAUUGACCAUGCCGCUGUUGUUUACAUUAUAUUUGGUUUUCUCCAGCUUCUCUAUUCGCUGUCUCGCCUCAUAGGUUGUCUUGUUUUAAAUAUUUGAGUUCUGUGUGAGCGUAUUCUAUAGAAUCUAGAAUUGCCACAGCAUUCCUUAUCCGUUCUUCUAUUAUUUCUAGUAUAUCUAGUCGAAGGUAGACACACUCGUAUAGCCUGUCUAGCAACAGCAACUUGC